AUUUUAGGCUAGGGGUGCCAAAAGGCUGAGAGAGGUUUAUCCUCAACUCUUUGAACCUGAAGCGGUUAAUACCGCCGGAGGGAAGCUACAUGCAUAUUUU
rnacentral:ncRNA from 2 species